rnacentral:lncRNA from 1 species
AAAAACAUAUUACCUCUCUAAGAGAGAGGAUGCCAACACCCCAAGAGAUAGAAUGUCAUUAAAGUAACAUAUCCAACAUAUCCAAAAAUAUUUACAUUCCUCCAAUAAAUUGAUAAACAUUAUUUUUCAUAGAUGCUAGGUGCAUUUAUUUUGGAACAACAAAUCCACGGACACUCACUUUUACUACAAUGAAUUAAGGCAUUUUCACCAUGAAAUGAAUCACAUUAAGUUAAUUAAAAUGGCUUCAAAAUGAAGAACAACAUUCUUUCUCCCAUAGAAUGACAAUUGUCACAAACAUGCAUCCAUCUUUUCUAUCCAUGCGAAUAACAAAUUAGGAAAAUAUAUUGUCAACUCUCUAAGAGAAAGGAUGUCAACUAUCCAAGAGAAAGGUUUCAUUGAAUUAACUUUUGUUUUCAAAUCAACGUAUCAAAAAAUCUUUACUUCAAAAUAAAAGUUCAAGCCAAAUUCUUUUAGAGUUAGAACAAUCAAAGAGACCAAAGCACUCUUAUUUUGCCACAUUAACUCAAGAGUCAUUCUCUUGGAAAAACGAAGAAACUUUGAAAAGACAUACCAAAUCAAAAGAUUCAAGCAUAUGAUUUUGGAACACAAUGCACACUGGCUUUUAAAAUAAUGAACUAAGGCAUUUUCACCAAAGAACAAAAGCAUAUCAAGAUAAUUAAAGUGGAUUCAAAAUAAAGAACGACAACUUUUCCCCUAUAUAAUGACAAUUCCCAUAAAUGGGCAUCCAUCUUUUCUAUAUGUGGAUGACAAUUCCCAUAAAUGGGCAUCCAUCUUUUCUAUAUGUGGAAAUAACAAAUUGGUAAAACAUAUUGUCAAAUCUAAAAGAGAAAGGAUGUCAACUUUGUAGGAUAAAGCAUUUCAUCAAAGUAACAUUUAUUCUCAAACCUAUAUAGCGAAAAAUCUUUACUUCAAAAUAAAAGUUCAAAAUAAUUUUUUUUUAGAAUUGGGACAACAAGAGGGACUAAAGCAGUUUUAUUUUGACGCAAUAACUCAAGAAUUAUUCUCUCAAGCACCAAGACAUGUUUACUUUUUAAAAAAAUUUGAUAAAACACACUUUCUGUUUCUAAAUUAUUACUUUCACCUCUUUUACUAGUCAAACUGUUAUGUUUUUUAUUUCUAACAUCAGAACAAUUAUUUUUUAGAAAAACAGUAAGAAACUUUAAUACAACAUAUUAAUAAAAAUAUUUAGUUUUAAUUAAAAAAUUCUAUCACAUUUUUAUGUGUUCCAUCUACCUUAGGCACUAGGGAAAAUUUACUCUCUCAAUAAAUCAAUUAACAUUAUUUUUCUUAGAUGCUACAUGCACUUAUUUUAGAAAAACAAAUCUAUGCACCCUCAGUUAACAAUGAUUGAGGGAUUUUCACCAAGGAAUAAAAGCGCGUCAAGUUAAUUAAAAUGGCUUCAAAAUGAAGAACGACAAUUUUUCUCCCUUAUAAUGAUAACUCUCAUAAACGAGCAUCUAUCUUCUCUAUCCGUGGGAACCCAAAACGAGAAAAAUAUAUUACCAACUCAAAUAUGUCAACUAUGUAAGAAAAAGGAUUUCAUCGAAGUAACUUUUACUUCCAAACAAACAAAUCAAAAAAUCUUUACUUCAAAACAAAAGUUGAAGCCAAAUAUCUUUAGAGUUGGGACAACUUAGGGACCAAAAUAGUUUUAUUUUGUUAUAAUAACUCGAGAAUGUCAAGCCACAAUUUACUUCUCACCAAAAAAAUUAGUAAUCUUUAUUUAUGAACACUAUGAACUCUCAUUUUUAAAACAAUGAACAAAGGCAUUUUAACCGAGGAAUGGAAGCACAUCAAGAUAAUUAAAGUGGCUUCAAAAUAAAGAACGACAACCUUUCCCCCAUAGAAUGACAAUUCCCUUAAACGAGCAUCCAUCUUUUCUAUCCGUGAGAACAAAAAAUUGGAAAAACAUAUUGUCAAAUCUAUAAGAGAAAUGAUACACUCUGCAAGAGAAAGCAUUUCAUCAAUGAAAAUAGAAGUUACUUCGAUGAAAUACUUUCUCUUGCAGAGUUUGCAUCCUUUCUCUUAUAGAUUUGAUAAUAUGUAUUGAUAAGGAUUUCAUGCUAAAUAAAAUAUUAUAUUAGUUAAAGUUCUAAUAAUAUAAUUAUAUCUUAUAAUUAGAGUCCAAAUAGAAUAAAGAUAAUCAAUAUAUAUAUAUCUUUUAAAUAAAAACAAAACAUAAGUAAUAAAAAUUAGAAGUUUAUUUUCUCCAAAAAAUUUUAAUAUAUUUUUUCAAUUUUUUGACUUCUAUUUUCAAACCAAUAUAUCGAAAAAUCUUUACCUUAAAACAAAAGUUCAAGGCAACUUUUUUUAGAAUUCGGACAACAAGAACGACCAAAGUAGUUUUAUUUUACCACAAUAACUCGAAAAUCAUUACCUUUCGCAGCAAGACAUGUUUACUUUUUACAAAUUGAUAAAACACACUUUCUGUUUCUAAACUAUUACUUAAGUCUCUCUUACUUGUCAAGCUGUUAUGUUUUCCAUAUCCAACAUCACAAAAUAAUUAUUUUUUAGAAAAACAGCAAAAAACUUUAAAACAACGUAUUAAAAAAAUAUCUUGUUCCAUUAAAAAUAUUCUAGCAUAAUUUUUUGUGUUUCAUCUACCUGAGGGACUAGGGGAAAUUUACUUUCCCUCAAUAAAUCGAUGAACAUUAUUUUUCUUAGAUACUAGGGCACUUAUUUUAGAACAACAAAUCUAUCCACCCUCAAUAUUAAAACAAUGAAUGAGAGACUUUGAUGGAGGAAUGAAAGCACAUCAAGUUAAUUAAAAUGUCAUCAAAAUAAAGAACAACAACCUUUCUCAUAUAGAACGACAAUUCCCAUAAAAAAAGCAUCCAUCUUUUCUUUUCAUGAGAACCAAAAAUUUUAAAAACAAACUGUCAUCUCUAUAAGAGAAAAGAUGUCAGCUAUGCAAGAAAAAGGAUUUCAUCGAAGUAACUUUUACUUCUAAACCAACAUAUCGAAAAAUUUUACUUCAAAACAAAAGUUGAAGCCAAAUCGUUUUAGACUUAGGACAACCGGAGGGACCAAAGCAAUUUUAUUUUGCCACAAUAAUUCAAGAAUGUCAAGCCACAAUUAAGUUCUUUCCAAAAAAAUUGGUAAUCUUUAUUUGGAAACACUAUGCACUCUCGUUUUUCAACAAUGAAUCAAUGCAUUUUCACGGAGGAAUGGAACACAUCAAGAUAAUUAAAGAGGCUUCAAAAUGAAGAACAAACAACUUUCUCCCAUAGGAUGACAAUUCCCAUAAACGUACCUCCAUCUUUUCUAUCCAUGGGAACAACAAAUUGGGAAAACAUAUUGUCCAAUAUGUAAGAGAAAGGACGCCAACUCUGCAAGAAAAAGCAUUUCAUCAAAGUAACUUCUAUUUUUAAACCAACAUAUCCCAAAAUCUAUACUUCUAAAAUAAAAGUUCGAUGCAAUUUUUUUAAGAGUUGAGACAACAAGAGGGACCAAAGAAUUUUUAUUUUGUCACAAUAACUCGAGAAUCAUUCUUUUCGCACCAAAUGGACGGCCCAGAUGCGUCCCGCGCGCACGGACGCACAGAUCAAGCGUGCGCACGGACGGCACAGAUGCAAGCGCACGGACGGCCCAGAUGCACGCGCACGGACGGCCAAGAUUCAAUCAAGCACAAACGGCCCAGAUUUAAUCAAAAUGGACAGCUGUGAUCAAAAGGCAAAAGAGUAUAAAUAAAACCCCCACACCUGACCACAAAAACCCUAGCCGCCUGCCCUCGCCAGAGAAGACGAACCAAACGCCGGAGGAGCCGGUCGCCACCACCCGCCGCCGCACCGAGGAGUUUUUCGACCGCCGAUCGAGGUAAAUUUCAUACCCCCGACUCGUUUUUCAAUGCUGAGUUUCCCUGUGGCCAAAUCGGAGCCAAAAUCCCGGCCAAACGGCCGGAAAACACGGCCGAAAUCCAUCGGCACCGCCGCGCCUCUCGAUUUUUGCCUCCGAUGAGGCCCUUUCCGGCCUCCGUUUGAUACAAUUUUUAUAUCACCGUGAUCACCAUUCUUUUCUCUACAGGUUGAUCGGAGCCAAAUCACCAAAACACGAACCUCGCCGGAGAGCCGCC